rnacentral:rRNA from 1 species
CCUACGGGAGGCAGCAGUGAGGAAUAUUGGUCAAUGGACGAGAGUCUGAACCAGCCAAGUAGCGUGAAGGAUGACUGCCCUAUGGGUUGUAAACUUCUUUUAUAAAGGAAUAAAACGAGGCACGUGUGCCUUUUUGCAUGUACUUUAUGAAUAAGGAUCGGCUAACUCCGUGCCAGCAGCCGCGGUAAUACGGAGGAUCCGAGCGUUAUCCGGAUUUAUUGGGUUUAAAGGGAGCGUAGAUGGGUUGUUAAGUCAGUUGUGAAAGGUUGGGGUUCAACCGUAAAAUUGCAAUUGAUACUGGCAGUCUUGAGUACAGUUGAGGUAGGCGGAAUUCGUGGUGUAGCGGUGAAAUGCUUAGAUAUCACGAAGAACCCCGAUUGCGAAGGCAGCUUACUAAACUGUGACUGACAUUGAUGCUCGAAAGUGUGGGUAUCAAACAGGAUUAGAUACCCGGGUAGUC